CACGAGUAGUAUUUAGUUGGCGGACGGGUGGAGUAACACGUUGGAACCUGCCCCGAACGUGGGGAAGUAACUAGCUCGAAAGAGUAGCUAAUACCCCAUAGUAUCCGGUUUAUCCGGAUUAAAGAUUUAUCGCUUCGGGAGGGGCCUGCGUCUGAUUAGCUAGUUGGUGAGGUAAAAGCUCACCAAGGCGACGAUCAGUAGCUGGUUCGAGAGGAUGACCAGCCACACUGGGACUGAGAUACGGCCCAGACUCCUACGGGAGGCAGCAGUGAGGAAUCUUCCACAAUGGGCGCAAGCCUGAUGGAGCAAUACCGCGUGCAGGAAGACGCUUUUCGGAGUGUAAACUGCUUUUGUCGUCGAAGAUUAUGACUGUAGACGAAGAAUAAGGACCGGCUAACUACGUG
rnacentral:rRNA from 1 species